rnacentral:sRNA from 1 species
GAAAUGGACUUCAGCAAUGCCAGGGGCAGAGCU